rnacentral:tRNA from 1 species
GUCCCGGUGGCGCAAUGGAUAGCGCGUCGGACUUCUAAUCCGGAGGUUGUGGGUUCGAGUCUCAUCCGAGACG